rnacentral:rRNA from 1 species
CAGCAGCCACGGGAAUACGUAGGUGGCGAGCGUUGUCCGGAAUCAUUGGGCGUAAAGGGAGCGCAGGCGGGCAUGUAAGUCUUUCUUAAAAGUUCGGGGUUUAACCCCGUGAUGGGAUGGAAACUGCUGAUCUAGAGUAUCGGAGAGGAAAGUGGAAUUCCUAGUGUAGCGGUGAAAUGCGUAGAUAUUAGGAAGAACACCAGUGGCGAAGGCGACUUUCUGGACGAAAACUGACGCUGAGGCGCGAAAGCCAGGGGAGCGAACGGGAUUAGAUACCCCCGUAGUCCCUGUCUCUAUACAC